rnacentral:snoRNA from 1 species
UUCCCUGAUGAGCAACUCUAUGCUUCGGCAUAGCUGGAAAUUACCGUCUGAGAUUUCUCCUUGACGAAAAAACCUGGCUGUUUUCUGAUU